UACGAAGGUCCCAAGCGUUAUCCGGAUUUAUUGGGUUUAAAGGGUGCGUAGGCGGACUAUUAAGUCAGUGGUGAAAGCCCCCAGCCUAACUGGGGAACUGCCAUUGAUACUGAUGGUCUUGAGUACAUUUGAGGUGGGCGGAAUGUGUCAUGUAGCGGUGAAAUGCUUAGAUAUGACACAGAACACCGAUUGCGAAGGCAGCUCACUAAAACUGUAACCUGACGGCUGAGGCACGAAAAGCCGUGG
rnacentral:rRNA from 1 species